UACAGAGGUCUCAAGCGUUGUUCGGAUUCAUUGGGCGUAAAGGGUGUGUAGGUGGCACCGUAAGUCGGCUGUGAAAGCCCGGGGCUCAACCCCGGAGGGUCAGCCGAUACUGGCAGGCUAGAGUACGGAAGAGGUAGCUGGAAUUCCCGGUGUAGCGGUGUAAAUGCGUAGAGUAUCGGGAGGAACACCUGAGGCGAAGGCGGGCUACUGGGCCGAUACUGACGCUGAUGUGCGAAAGCCAGGGGAGCGAACGGG
rnacentral:rRNA from 1 species